rnacentral:rRNA from 1 species
CUACGUGCCAGCAGCCGCGGUAAUACGGAGGGUGCGAGCGUUAAUCGGAAUAACUGGGCGUAAAGGGCACGCAGGCGGACUUUUAAGUGAGGUGUGAAAUCCCCGGGCUUAACCUGGGAAUUGCAUUUCAGACUGGGGGUCUAGAGUACUUUAGGGAGGGGUAGAAUUCCACGUGUAGCGGUGAAAUGCGUAGAGAUGUGGAGGAAUACCGAAGGCGAAGGCAGCCCCUUGGGAAUGUACUGACGCUCAUGUGCGAAAGCGUGGGGAGCAAACAGGAUUAGAUACCCUGGUAGUCCACGCUGUAAACGCUGUCGAUUUGGGGAUUGGGCUUUGAGCUUGGUGCCCGUAGCUAACGUGAUAAAUCGACCGCCUGGGGGGUACGGCCGCAAGGUUAAAACUCAAAUGAAUUGACGGGGGCCCGCACAAGCGGUGGAGCAUGUGGUUUAAUUCGAUGCAACGCGAAGAACCUUACCUACUCUUGACAUCCAUGGAAUCCUGUAGAGAUACGGGAGUGC